rnacentral:rRNA from 1 species
GACGAACGCUGGCGGCGUGCUUAACACAUGCAAGUCGAACGGAAAGGCCCUGCUUUUGUGGGGUGCUCGAGUGGCGAACGGGUGAGUAACACGUGAGUAACCUGCCCCUGACUUUGGGAUAACUCCAGGAGACUGGGGCUAAUACCGCAUAGGAGCUCCUGCUUCAUGGGGGGGGUUGGAAAGAUUCGGCGGUUGGGGAUGGACUCGGGGCUUAUCAGCUUGUUGGUGGGGUAGUGGCUUACCAAGGCUUUGACGGGUAGCCGGCCUGAGAGGGUGACCGGCCACAUUGGGACUGAGAUGCGGCCCAGACUCAUACGGGGGGCAGCAGUGGGGAAUAUUGUGCACUGGGCGGAAUCCUGAUGCAGCAACGCCGGGUGCGAGAUGACUGCCUUCGGGUUGUAACCCGCUUUCGCCUGUGACGAAGCGUGAGUGACGGUAAUGGGUAAAGAAGCACCGGCUAACUACGUG